rnacentral:tRNA from 1 species
GGGAAUGUGGCUUAGUGGUAGAGUGCUUGCCUAGCAUGCAUGAAGACCUGAGUUUGAUUCUUCAGUACCA